rnacentral:rRNA from 1 species
UGGGGAAUAUUGCACAAUGGGGGAAACCCUGAUGCAGCGACGCCGCGUGAGCGAAGAAGGCUUUCGAGUCGUAAAGCUCUGUCCUAUGAGAAGAUAAUGACGGUAUCAUAGGAGGAAGCCCUGGCUAAAUACGUGCCAGCAGCCGCGGUAAUACGUAUGGGGCGAGCGUUGUCCGGAAUUAUUGGGCGUAAAGGGUACGUAGGUGGUUUUUUAAGUCAGGUGUCAAAGCGUGGAGCUUAACUCCAUUAAGCACUUGAAACUGAAAGACUUGAGUGAAGGAGAGGAAAGUGGAAUUCCUAGUGUAGCGGUGAAAUGCGUAGAUAUUAGGAGGAAUACCGGUGGCGAAGGCGACUUUCUGGACUUUUACUGACGCUGAGGCACGAAAGCGUGGGGAGCAAACAGG